GGACCAUUGGUGUAGCGGUUAACAUGUCUCCCUGUCACGGAGAAGAUCGUGGUUCGAUCCCCAUAUGGUCCGCCA
rnacentral:tRNA from 1 species